rfam:Pseudocercospora fijiensis CIRAD86 unplaced genomic scaffold MYCFIscaffold_6, whole genome shotgun sequence.
GGAGAUGUGGUCUAGCGGUUGGGCACAGGCACCUCGAUUCACUAGAGGUGGGCAAUUCAUUAGCCCAUGCUUCAUUCAUUGUUAAUAGGCAUGUCCUGGACGUAGGUUCGAUUCCUACUGUCUCCA